UACAGAGGUCUCAAGCGUUGUUCGGAUUCAUUGGGCGUAAAGGGAGCGUAGGUGGCGCCGUAAGUCAGGUGUGAAAUCUCGGGGCUCAACCCCGAAACUGCACUUGAUACUGCGGUGCUCGAGUACUGGAGAGGAGAUUGGAAUUUACGGUGUAGCAGUGAAAUGCGUAGAUAUCAGGAGGAACACCUGCGGUGUAGACGGCUUACUGGACCAUAACUGACGCUGAGGCACGAAAGCGUGGGUAGCAAACAGG
rnacentral:rRNA from 1 species